GCGGCCUAUCAGCUUGUUGGUGAGGUAAUGGCUCACCAAGGCGACGACGGGUAGCCGGCCUGAGAGGGUGACCGGCCACACUGGAACUGAGACACGGUCCAGACUCCUACGGGAGGCAGCAGUGGGGAAUAUUGCACAAUGGGCGCAAGCCUGAUGCAGCAACGCCGCGUGAGGGAUGAAGGCCUUCGGGUUGUAAACCUCUUUUAGCAGGGAAGAAGCGAAAGUGACGGUACCUGCAGAAAAAGCACCGGCUAACUACGUGCCAGCAGCCGCGGUAAUACGUAGGGUGCAAGCGUUGUCCGGAAUUAUUGGGCGUAAAGAGCUCGUAGGCGGUUUGUCGCGUCUGCUGUGAAAACUGGAAGCUCAGCUUCCAGCCUGCAGUGGGUACGGGCAGACUAGAGUGCGGUAGGGGAGAACGGAGUUCCUGGUGUAGCGGUGGAAUGCGCAGAUAUCAGGAGGAACACCGAUGGCGAAGGCAGUUCUCUGGGCCGUUACUGACGCUGAGGAGCGAAAGCGUGGGGAGCGAACAGAAUUAGAUACCCUGGUAGUCCACGCCGUAAACGGUGGGUGCUAGCUGUGGGCCACAUUCCACGUGGUCCGUGACGAAGUUAACACAUUAAGCACCCCGCCUGGGGAGUACGG
rnacentral:rRNA from 1 species